GCACAUAAGAAUCACAAUCAAACAUCAUUAAAACAUGCUCUGUUUUUACACUGGUUCAACUUUAAAAUUUAAUCUGUUCUGACUCUGACAUCUCCUGGACUCGAGACUCAUACCAAAAGAAAGCUCUUCGAGUCUAGUUUCAUAUAAAAAAAAGUAGAGUCGAAAGCUCCAAGUGGUUUGAGAGAUAUGACGUUUUUACCACGAUCUACCAUUUCUGGCAGUUUUGUGCAACCGAAGGUUACAAUUUUUUGAAAAAUAGUAAACGUUGUCAAACUGG
rnacentral:lncRNA from 1 species